rnacentral:rRNA from 1 species
UACGAAGGGGGCUAGCGUUGCCCGGAAUUACUGGGCGUAAAGGGCGCGUAGGCGGAUAGUUUAGUCAGAGGUGAAAGCCCAGGGCUCAACCUUGGAAUUGCCUUUGAUACUGGCUAUCUUGAGUUCGGGAGAGGUGAGUGGAAUGCCGAGUGUAGAGGUGAAAUUCGUAGAUAUUCGGCGGAACACCAGUGGCGAAGGCGACUCACUGGCCCGAUACUGACGCUGAGGCGCGAAAGCGUGGGGAGCAAACAGG